AAUGAACGCUGGCGGCAUGCCUAACACAUGCAUGUCGAACGAAGGCUUCGGCCUUAGUGGCGCACGGGUGCGUAACGCGUGGGAAUCUGCCCUCAGGUUCGGAAUACAGCGAGAAAUUGCUGCUAAUGCCGGAUGAUAUCGCGAGAUCAAAGAUUUAUCGCCUGAGGAUGAGCCCGCGUAGGAUUAGCUAGUUGGUGUGGUAAAGGCGCACCAAGGCGACGAUCCUUAGCUGGUCUGAGAGGAUGAUCAGCCACACUGGGACUGAGACACGGCCCAGACUCCUACGGGGGGCAGCAGUGGGGAAUAUUGGACAAUGGGCGAAAGCCUGAUCCAGCAAUGCCGCGUGAGUGAUGAAGGCCUUAGGGUUGUAAAGCUCUUUUACCCGGGAUGAUAAUGACAGUACCGGGAGAAUAAGCUCCGGCUAACUCCGUGCCAGCAGCCGCGGUAA
rnacentral:rRNA from 1 species